UACGUAGGGUGCAAGCGUUAAUCGGAAUUACUGGGCGUAAAGCGUGCGCAGGCGGCUUUGCAAGACAGAUGUGAAAUCCCCGGGCUCAACCUGGGAACUGCAUUUGAGACUGCAUGGCUAGAGUACGGUAGAGGGGGAUGGAAUUCCGCGUGUAGCAGUGAAAUGCGUAGAUAUGCGGAGGAACACCGAUGGCGAAGGCAAUCCCCUGGACCUGUACUGACGCUCAUGCACGAAAGCGUGGGGAGCAAACAGG
rnacentral:rRNA from 1 species